GCUUGCUUUGGCAGUGCAUAUACUGAAAUUGGAAUGAUACAGAGAAGAUUAGCAUGGUCCCAUGCAAGGAUGACAUGGAAAUUCAUUAAGUGUUCCAUAUUUUU